rfam:Schistosoma haematobium scaffold273_14, whole genome shotgun sequence.
GUCCAGCUGACGAGUCUCAAAUAGGACGAAACGCACGUCCUGGCU